UACGGGGGGGGCAAGCGUUGUUCGGAAUUACUGGGCGUAAAGCGUGCGCAGGCGGUUUGCUAAGACAGGUGUGAAAUCCCCGGGCUUAACCUGGGAACUGCGCUUAUUACUGGCAAGCUAGAGUGUGGCAGAGGGGGGUGGAAUUCCAGGUGUAGCAGUGAAAUGCGUAGAGAUCUGGAGGAACACCGAUGGCGAAGGCAGCCCCCUGGGCUAACACUGACGCUCAUGCACGAAAGCGUGGGGAGCAAACAGG
rnacentral:rRNA from 1 species